rnacentral:lncRNA from 1 species
AAAAAAAAAAACAGAUGAAAAUCUCAGGUUAAACUUAAAUGGGCCGGGUGGAAAAUUAAAUUGAGCCCAUCCUGUUUAUCUUCUUCAAUCAAGGGUAACAAAGGUAGCCGCCAGACACAGGAAACAAAGGGUAACAGAAGAAAUAUUGAUGAAAAAUAUUUUUCAGAUAAAAUUAAAAUUUCAAAAUCGAUUCAAUGUAACGUGAAAGCUACAAAUCCAAGCUUCUUGUAGAAUCGAAUCUAAGGAGUGAAAUCGAUUUUCCAUUCUUUUACCAAACAUCAUGCAAAAGUGAAAAAUUGCGUUUGAGGGG